AUUGAACGCUGGCGGCAUGCCUUACACAUGCAAGUCGAACGGCAGCACGGGAGCAAUCCUGGUGGCGAGUGGCGAACGGGUGAGUAAAGUAUCGGAACGUGCCCAGUCGUGGGGGAUAACGUAGCGAGAGUUACGCUAAUACCGCAUACGAUCUACGGAUGAAAGCGGGGGAUCGCAAGACCUCGCGCGAUUGGAGCGGCUGAUAUCAGAUAAGGUAGUUGGUGGGGUAAAGGCUCACCAAGCCGACGAUCUGUAGCUGGUCUGAGAGGACGACCAGCCACACUGGGACUGAGACACGGCCCAGACUCCUACGGGAGGCAGCAGUGGGGAAUUUUGGACAAUGGGCGCAAGCCUGAUCCAGCCAUGCCGCGUGCAGGAUGAAGGCCUUUGGGUUGUAAACUGCUUUUGUACGGAACGAAAAGGUUUGGCCUAAUAAGCUGGACCCAUGACGGUACCGUAAGAAUAAGCACCGGCUAACUGCGUGCCAGCCGCCGCAGUAA
rnacentral:rRNA from 1 species